UUUUUUUUUUAAAUAUAUUUUUUUAAGUUUUUUUUUAAAUGUUAAUGCCUAUGGUAUCUGAUGCCUUAACUUAAUUAAUGUUUUAGGCAUCUCGUUUUACGGGCAAAUAGAGAUGAAAACGGUUUUGCGACACAGUUUGCUGGGUGGGUGCUCAAAAUGAAGCUGCAAAGUAGUUUGCCUUGCGUGGACACCGCUCCAUCAACCAAGUCAUCGCGUGGUUGGAAGGACAAGACGUGAAUAAGGAACAGUUGAACAUCAUCAUAAGUGGACUCAUGAGAGCUGAAUAAGGAAUAGUCAAAUAUCAUCAAAACUCGACUCAUCAUACUAUGAUUUUGUCAUUAUCAUAAUUGUAUUGUUUAUUAAAUAAUACAAUUUUUGUUAUUUUUGUAAUUAUAUUGUUUAUCGUUAAAGCAUAUUAGCACAUUUUUCAAGCUCGAUCAUGGUAAGUGAAUUCUGAGAGACGCAUUGUCUCUUUUAAUCAAUUAUACAUUUUUCUUUUAAAAAAUAUGAUUUGGGUGAAUCACUCUUUCUAAUAAGAGCAAGAGGGGAGUUGGAGGCAUGACAAAAUCUUUGGCUAAAGUUACCCCUCAGAAAGAGGAAGAAGUGAUCUCACCCUUAAAAAUUUGAGAUUGUUACAAUUAGGAGACUUAUAAUAUCUGUAUAUAAUUUUUUACAUAAAACAAGCAUCUCAGAAAGAGGAUGAAGUGAUCUCACCCUUAAAAAUUUGAGAUUGUUACAAUUAGGAGACUCAUUAUAUCUGUAUAUAAUUUUUUACAUAAAACAAGCAUAGAAACUUAGAGAGUGUUUUUGUUAUAAACGCAGAGAUAAUUUAUUUUUUUCAUGAAAAACUAACAGAAUAUUCUAACUGAGUUAAUAUUUUUGAUUCAAAGGGUUAUAAAAUAAGAUUCAGAUGCUAAAGUUGUUAAAUCUACUAAAAUACAAGAACUUAAAAAAGUAAUUUACUUAAAAAUUUAUUUCUUUUCAAAUCGAGAAUAAAAUAAAAACUAAAGAACCUGUUUUACAAGCCUACACUUGUUUUAACAUAUUAGUCAACACUUCUAGAAUCUCACACCAGUUUUAAUGAUUUUUGACAUCUCAUACUUCCAGAAUCUUAGAUCAGUUUUUUUACUGAUUUUGGACCAAAUAGAUAAGACUAAAGGGUAUGGGGGCCGGCUGAGGCCCGGCUAGGACCGGCGCCGGUCCCCCACACCGCCCCCCUGGGGCUCGGCUCAGCACAACCGGCACCCCACAGCCGGGGUAGCCGGUCCUCCCUUCUCCUUCCUUCUCUCACCUAUACAUACAUACAUAUAUAUACAUAAAGGGGUUCAUCCCCCACCCCCCUAGGUCCAUUCCCUUCAAGCCGAGCCUACGUGGCGCUGACGUGGCGGCUCAUCCUCUUGGGGAUGAGGCUCUCCAUACCCACUAGUCUAACAGAUGAAAUCGAAUGAGUUAUGCAUAUUUGGACCAAAUAGCUAACAGAUGAAGUCGAAUGAGUUAUGCAUAGAAUAA
rnacentral:lncRNA from 1 species